GUUAUUCAUAACCCUUUGUUGUCCGACUCUGUUGCCUCCGGGGCGACCCUGCCUUCGGGCGGGGGCUCCGGGUGGACACUUCAAACUCUUGCGUAACUUUGCAGUCUGAGUAAACUUAAUUAAUAAAUUAAAACUUUUAACAACGGAUCUCUUGGUUCUGGCAUCGAUGAAGAACGCAGCGAAAUGCGAUAAGUAAUGUGAAUUGCAGAAUUCAGUGAAUCAUCGAAUCUUUGAACGCACAUUGCGCCCCCUGGUAUUCCGGGGGGCAUGCCUGUUCGAGCGUCAUUUCACCACUCAAGCCUCGCUUGGUAUUGGGCAACGCGGUCCGCCGCGUGCCUCAAAUCGUCCGGCUGGGUCUUCUGUCCCCUAAGCGUUGUGGAAACUAUUCGCUAAAGGGUGUUCGGGAGGCUACGCCGUAAAACAACCCCAUUUCUAAGGUUGACCUCGGAUCAGGUAGGGAUACCCGCUGAACUUAAGCAUAUCAAA
rnacentral:rRNA from 1 species